CAGAGGUCCCGAGCGUUGUUCGGAUUCACUGGGCGUAAAGGGUGCGUAGGUGGCGAGGUAAGUCGGAUGUGAAAGCUCGGAGCUCAACUCCGAAAUGGCAUUGGAAACUACCUUGCUCGAGGGUUGAGGGGGGACUGGAAUACUUGGUGUAGCAGUGAAAUGCGUAGAUAUCAAGUGGAACACCAGUGGCGAAGGCGAGUCCCUGGACAACACCUGACACUGAGGCACGAAAGCUAGGGGAGCAAACAGGAUUAGAUACCCUGGUAGUCCUAGCCGUAAACGGUGCUUGCUUGCUGUAAAAGGAAUCGACCCCUUUUGUGGCGUAGCCAACGCGUUAAGCAAGCCGCCUGGGAAGUACGGUCGCAAGAUUA
rnacentral:rRNA from 1 species